GUCGUUGCUGGUGUGCCUAACACAUGCUAGUCGUGCGAGAAAAGGGUGGCAACAUCUCUGAGUAAAGCGGCGAACGGGUGAGUAACACGUAGGUAACCCGUCCCCGAGCCCGGGAUAACCUGUCGAAAGACGGGCUAAUACCGGAUAAGAUCGCAGGAGCACCAGCUCCAGCGGUGAAAGGUGGCCUAUGCUUGCAAGCUAUCACCGGAGGAUGGGGCCGCGUCCCAUCAGCUUGUUGGUAGGGUAACGGCCUACCAAGGCUAAGACGGGUAGCUGGUCUGAGAGGACGACCAGCCACACUGGCACUGAGACACGGGCCAGACUCCUACGGGAGGUAGCAGUCAGGAAUCUUGGGCAAUGGGGGAAACCCUGACCCAGCCACCCUGCGUGAGGGAUGAAGGCCUUCGGGUCGUAAACCUCUGUCAGAGGGGACGAAUCCAGUGCGGGUGAACAAUCCGCGCUGUUGACAGUACUCUCAGAGGAAGCGCCGGCUAACUACGUGCCAGCAGCCGCGGUAAAACGUAGGGCGCAAGCGUUGCGCGGAAUUAUUGGGCGUAAAGGGCGUGUAGGCGGCCUUUUAAGUCCAGCGUGAAAUCCUCCGGCUCAACCGGAGAAGUGCGCUGGAUACUGGAAGGCUUGAGUUCGGGAGAGGGAGGUAGAAUUCCCGGUGUAGCGGUGAAAUGCGUAGAUAUCGGGAGGAAUACCUGUGGCGAAGGCGGCCUCCUGGCCCGACACUGACGCUGAAACGCGAAAGCGUGGGUAGCAAACAGAAUUAGAUACUCUGGUAGUCCACGCCAUAAACGGUGAGCACUAGGUGUGGGAGGUAUUGACCCCUUCUGCGCCGCAGCUAACGCGAUAAGUGCUCCGCCUGGGAAUACGGUCGCAAGAUUG
rnacentral:rRNA from 1 species